rnacentral:misc_RNA from 1 species
AAUCCCCAGUCGCGGUCAUAGCAGUAACGCCGCUCGAAGUCCUGCAGGUAGACAGGCGAAUACGAAAGCUCGGACGAGCUCCCCGACGCGCUGGCGAACGCAAGACGCACGAAGUCGGCACGGGUCAGCCGGCGGGGCUCGUCGAGCGCCAGAUACGCGAGCAGCGGCAUGCGGUGGUACUCGAGCUGGCGCAGGCGCACGCCGUGUCCAUGAUCCUGGUG